GUGUAUCAAAUACUUGUUCUCCCCACUGUAAAUGGCUCCUAGCCUCCCAUGCAAUAAAUUAUAUAAAACCUAAAUAAAAAUGGUUUUAUCAAACUUGAACUAAAUAAAAACUGGAUCUGAAAACUAAACUGAAUUUUAAAUACAAAUCUUAAAACGAAUAGAAAUACAAACGAAUAGAAAAUAACAAAACUAUAAUAACCUUGCUGUGUAACCCUGAUCUCAUCCACUGUUGGAAUGCAGCUCAGGCCAUCCCUGGAGGAAGUCAACGGAAGCUCCAGGUUUCCUGUCAGCUGUCCUAUCCUUUCCCAUCCUCUUCUGUUCUUUUUUAUAGUAAACGCUCUCAAUGGAAUAGGUGCACUGUGGGCUAGUACCCUUUCUAAAGCGUUGAAGAAGCACAAGUCUUACAUUAGAGAAGCGCAGACACCAUAGACUUACAUCAUUUAGACAGAGACCCUCUUCUUUUGUCUACCAAUCAGUCAUAAAUAGCUCACCCUACUGUCCGCCCCCAUACCAUGUCCAGUUAAGGUCAGUACAGCAGUAGACACUGAAAGUAGUGGGCUGCUCUGACAUCCACCAGUACAGAAGCACCAUUGUAGUGGAGAAUGAUUUCUCUCUGUGAGGUCACAGCCAUAUCCUGUGGUUAUUGAACAAGUCAGGGAUUGUCUCGACCUGUGAUCAGACGUAACACGGCCCAUUGUUGAUUGUGUUGGGGUUCUGUGCUAACAUUUGCCAAACGGUGUCGUCAGCCUGUAUUAAACUCUGUCGGUAUGUGCGAGGUGGUUGGAGGGUUGGAUGCAGACCCACAUACUGUAUUGUAUGGAUGCCAUGUCAGCUUGCUAUGGGGCUGGUCAAAGGAGGUAGCUAGUCGCUACUGCAUUGUGCACUGGAUAUGUUUCUGUAAGAGAAAAGCAGCCAUGAACUUUCGUGUAAGCCUAAGUUACGCUGUUGGACCUAACCUGUGGAUAACAGAACAACCCAAAGCUAGGAAGCCAGAAAACUCAGUGAGUGUGACAGAGACUGUGUCUGUGUCCUCCUCCUCUGUGACCUCCUCGGGUGGAGGAGACGACGAUGAGCAGGCCCUGCUGGAGCGCAUGGCCAAACGAGAGGAGCGCAGGCAGAAAAGAAUGAUGGAAGCUCUGGAGCGAGAGAAGGAUCAGAACCCCGGCAAUGACGGUAACCACGGCAGCGGGGAGAAUAGUGUGGAUGAGAGGUCCGUCGGCCGCAGGGGCCGUUACCAAGACCACGAAGAAGAGGUGGAAGAGCGGAACAGCCGAAAGGAUGAGAAGGAGGAGGAAGAGGAGGCUGCUCCGGAGGAGGAAGAGGCUGAGCAGGGAGAGGAAGAAGAGGAGGAAGAGGUGGUGGAGGAGAAACCGAGACGGUCCUAUAUGAGAGAACAGGAAUCCAUUGACGAAAAAACUAGAAACGAGGAAGAUACAGAAGGACAAGCAGUGGUUUUAAAUGAGGCAGAGGUUGAAGAAGAUGCUGAAUUAAGUGAUAAGGUAGAGGAAGAGGUAGAGGUACCAGAUCAGUUAGAGGUAGACGGCACAACAGUGACACUGAACAAUGAGACUGAGGAAGACUAUGACAUAUCAACCAUCCAAAACGGCUUGGAUGUGGUGAAUGAAAAGCAGAAUGGAGGUCUGCACGAGGAGAUUCCUCCAAAACACAAAAAAACUGAAAGGACCCUGAGCCGCGGCAGCGUGCGUUCCCCGGAGGCGGGGACGGAGGAGCAGGAUGACGCGGCGCGCCUGGAGGCGGAGCUUAAGCUGGAGGAGCUGAAGCGCCGCCGUGACGAUGCGGAGAGCGAGGAGUUUGAGAGGAUGAGACAGAAGCAGCAGGAGGCUGAGCAGGAGCUGGAAGAGCUGAAGAAGAAGAGGGAGGAGAGGAGGAAGAUCAUAGAAGAGGAGGAGAGACAGAAGAAACAGGAGGAGGCCGAGAAGAAGGCCAGAGAGGAGGAGGAGAAGAGGAGGAUGAAGGAGGAGAUCGAGAGGAGGAGGGCGGAGGCGGCCGAGAAGAGACAGCAGAUGGGGGUGGAGACUGUUGACGGAGAGGCCAAACCCUUCAAAUGCUUCAGCCCCAGAGGAUCCUCCCUCAAGAUUGGUGAAAGGGCAGAGUUUCUGAACAAGUCGGCACAGAAAAGCACGGUGAAGACGUCUCACUCUCCUGUCGUCUCUAAGAUUGACAACAGACUGGAGCAGUACACCUCUGUUGCCCAGAACAAGGAUAUGCGGUCCCCGCGCUCCGGUGCCGUGGACCUGCCCAUGGUGACAGACGGGAUACGCAACAUUAAGAGCAUGUGGGAGAAAGGCAACGUGUUCAACUCGCCCGGGGGCGGCGGGGGCACGUACAAGGAAGCAGCUGGGAUGAAGAUAGGUGUGGCAGGCCGCAUCAACGACUGGCUGAAUAAAACCCCCGAGAGCAAAACGCCGGGAGGAAGGCCUGCGGACCUGAAGCCAGGAGAUGUGACCAACAAGAGAAGUCUGUGGGAAAACAAGGGCUCCUCCCCAGCCAAGAGCUCUGAAGAAGAGCUCUCUUAGCUAGUUGACUUCACCGUUAACUAGUCUGGAAACCCUGGAGAGGUGACUGGCAGAGGGGAGAAUAAAUCUGUCGCCAAUGCAGGUAUGGGACACGAAUGAUACAAAGAACUUCUGAAGGCUGGCGAGGACCAAGACAAUCCAAGACUCUUCCUUUUCUAUGCGUAUUAUACCAAAAAAUAUGACCACCACCCUGAGGGAACCCAAGGAAUGGAGAGAAACAGGAGAUUUUAUUUAAUAAGCACUGUACUGAAAUGAACAGCCACCAUCUCGUAACAUUACAGUGUAGUGCCUUUGCACAACGAUUUACUUUGAUUUACUUUCACAACAAACAAACAAAAGAAUAUGCUGUGAAAUUUGGAUGUUUUAUGAUAUGGUGAUUUGUUUUAUAUUUUAUAAGCGAAAACUUGCAUAAGAAAAUAAAUACAUUGAAAUUAGAUGUAUUUCCCAUGCGCUCUUCAGUACAUGUGUAGUUUUGAUAUAGUAGAGAAAUAGUUUUUAUGAGGUUUCCAGUUCCACAAUCAUGUCCGUGUUCCAAAGAGAGAUAUCAAUCAUCAAUGCUCUGUCCAAUGUCGUCCAUCUCACUUCUUUUUUAUUUAUAUUUAAAGCAAAGCUUCACACAUCGCUAUUUUAUUCAUGUUCACCAGUUCAAGAGAGAGAUUAUAAGCACUCCGUAGAUUUUGCUUAUUUCACUUUUUUUGUCUUACCAAUAGUGCAACAAUGGUCUGAGUUAAUAUAUGUUAGCACAUAAGUACAUGUUGUUAUGAAUAUUAUACUGUAUCUUCUAUUACAGCUUUAUACUCAAGAUUUGUUUCGCUUUUGUACUCUAAAAUUAAAUGACUAUGAGGCAAUGAAAGGCAGUGCAAGCAACUAAAGGAAAGUUGUAUAUUAAGACGCCCAUUAUAACGUUUAUUAUCCUUGUUUCAAUUUAUUUAUGUUUUUGACAUGUUUUGUCAUUAUUUGGCUGUUUUUGUAGCUUUUGUACCUGCUGUUUCAAUCUCUAAUUCACUUUGUUAAACUUUAAAACAAUCCAGAACGUAGCAGGUGUACUUAGACUUACAUCCUCAUCUUUGACCCAGAACAUUCCACACCACUAAGCACACCGCCGUGCUUAUUCACGUACAUGCUCCAAUGGCUUCUAUUUAGGAGGUUAAGGACCUCUGCUUUGUUCAUGAGGUUGCCUGAGAAUGGCAGACCAGAGACACAUUUAUACACUGUGCCUGUACCUUGAGACGGCAUCAGUUUAAGCCGUAUGUCACCUUGCCAUUUAAGCCCAAGUCUGAUGUACUAACUAUAGGACUCUGAAAGAAGGGAAAGUGCACAUUUAGGUAUUGACCAUGAUAGAGGAUUGAAUCAGUCAACAGAAGACAGAUUUUGACUCCAGACAACAAUAGCGCUUGAUGCUUUUUCUGGGUUUGAGUUUUCUUAAAGUUUCAUUGUGGUAUGUAAGAUCGUGUUUACAGCACAAACGCUUGACAUACAAUGGUCUCAAGGCUUUGUUAUUGCAGGCACCGAAUAAACUGUACCUUACACUUUGGCAACUCAGUAUGACUUCAGCUGUUUCUUUCUUUUUUUACUGUUUCAUUAUUAAGGAUAUAUGUUUCACAUUUCAUUAAUUCAUUUUGCAUGACAUGCUUUGAUAAUAUGGGUAUUAAAUAAAGGUUGGCAGGGGCAUUGUAAGAUUGUUCUGUGAAAAACCUUGACAAUCACAUUCCAUGACUCCUUAGAAAUACAAGCGAUGGAGUCUGACUAAAAUAUAUAACAUUAUUUUACAUUGCUGUUAAUUCAUAUUUUGGUAAUUAGCUUUUUUGUCCAUUUUAAUUUUAUUUCAAACACCCUCAUUUAUUGUGUAGAGUUAACUAUGCAAGGCACACUAUCUCUAGUUUCGGAUAAAACUUUGUUAUAGUAGUGGGUAGUUUCCUACAGAAUGAAUGUUAUGAAAUAUUUGUACCGUUGACUCAACAACAGCAAUAAAGACAUAUAAAUUGUU